CUGCCUAGUGGUGGGGGAUAACGUUCGGAAUCGGACGCUAAUACCGCAUACGUCCUGCGGGAGAAAGCGGGGGAUCUUCGGACCUCGCGCCAUUAGAUGAGCCUAGGUCGGAUUAGCUAGUUGGUGAGGUAAUGGCUCACCGGGGCGACGAUCCGUAACUGGUCUGAGAGGAUGAUCAGUCGCACUGGAACUGAGACACGGUCCAGACUCCUACAGGAGGCAGCAGUGGGGAAUAUUGGACAAUGGGCGAAAGCCUGAUCCAGCCAUGCCGCGUGUGUGAAGAAGGUCUUCGGAUUGUAAAGCACUUUAAGUUGGGAGGAAGGGUAGUAACCUAAUACGUUGCUACUUUGACGUUACCGACAGAAUAAGCACCGGCUAACUUCGUGCCAGCAGCCGCGGUAAUACGAAGGGUGCGAGCGUUAAUCGGAAUUACUGGGCGUAAGGCGCGCGUAGGUGGUUCAGUAUGUUGGAAGUGAAAUCCCCGGGCUCAACCUGGGAACUGCUUUUCAUAACUGCUGAGCUACAGUACGGUAGAAGGUGGUGGAAUUUCCUGU
rnacentral:rRNA from 1 species